GCAGAAUUCAUCACAGUGUUUUAAAACUGGCUGACCUGCCCUGCCCCAGGUGUAUACACCAAGACCUUGAAGCUAUGUAUUGAAAUUGCACUCGGGCUAUGUGAACUAUGCUAGGCGAAGCCAUUGCAAAGUCUGGGAGCAGCAUCCAGGCUCCACAGUACCCAGCUGGUGCAGAGCAUUCUGGUUCAGAUGGUUAACAGGGCACUCAGCAAUAAACAACUGUUUUCAUAAGAGAAAACUACGACUAACACAGAAAAUAAAUAAAGUCUUUAGAAGUCUUUAAAUAUUCUCUCUCAGGUUCUUUAUUUAACUUUCAUUAAGAGCAC
rnacentral:lncRNA from 1 species